rnacentral:rRNA from 1 species
UACGUAGGUGGCAAGCGUUGUCCGGAAUUAUUGGGCGUAAAGCGCGCGCAGGCGGUCCUUUAAGUCUGAUGUGAAAGCCCACGGCUCAACCGUGGAGGGUCAUUGGAAACUGGGGGACUUGAGUGCAGGAGAGAGGAGUGGAAUUCCACGUGUAGCGGUGAAAUGCGUAGAGAUGUGGAGGAACACCAGUGGCGAAGGCGGCUCUCUGGAACGCAGCUGACGCUGAGACGCGAAAGCGUGGGGAGCAAACAGG